AAGUGCUGCCGCUGCCAGGACUUGCAAGUGUGAGCCCUUGUUCAACGAGUUUCAUCACCGGCAACUUGUCGGGGAUCACCACAAGGAUCACCUUUGCUGCGAGCUUCAACAGCGGCAUCAAACAAAAUAGCAGUCGGCCUGUUACAUUUUGGAGUUUGCAUCGACUUCAACUGGCACAUCAUGGACGUGCCUCGAUAAACGAUUUAGAAACCUGUGACCACGCCUUUCUUCGUUCACAACGAGCCAUCUUCGGGUUCCUGCCUCUUGCUUGUCUUCUGGGAAAUCUGUCGUGCAGCAAAGCCCAUCGAUGUGGCCUGCCCGUCUGCCUCCACUUCGUAAAGGGACUCCUUCCUGAGUAGCUGCUCGUCACUGUGCUGUGACCGAUGGCGAAUGAAGAGUGGACGACGGACUGUAUCUCACCUUGCCCCCGCGAGACAUGCCAGCAAUCUCCGGAUACCCCCCCCCCCCCCCGGGGGCCCAUGAAAUGCUGUAAAACAUCUUCACGUUGGUGUACGACAAUGUUAUCGUACAGUGCUGUUUCAAGGAAAAUUUCAAGGCUUGCAAUCAUGUCGCAUUUUUAAAUGUUACGCUGUUCGGCCGCCAUACAGAUAAUGAAGUGUUUUUGAUGAAUGUUAUAAUGUGGGACCCAUAUUAAGUUGCACAGGCGUAACGUUUUUCAGUGCAACGUUUUGCCAUGCUUGUACUUCACCACCCUAUGUGAUUGCAGUUAAAUUGGUCACCCUAUUUGGAUGUUUUUCUUAGUCAUGACAGUAACAUAAGUUAACAUUGUGCCAUGUAGUGGCGUAUUGAUGCUCUUCAGCUUUAAACUGCAUGGAAAGCUGGGCAACUUGGCUAAAUGCAUCUAUCAAUCUGUGUAACCUGGAGGCUCCCUUCAUGCGUCAAUGUGUUUGCACGUGGUUGUUGCGCAUCUUACGCUCUUCCAUUUCUCCUAUUCACUAGUGAACUCGGUGCUUCUUUUGCUUCGAUCUUGAGGUUGUGCGGGCACGCUCGGCAGGUUCCCGUUUGUCCAAUGAAGCGAUUCAGUUGAAGCAUUGUCACUUGCGGUUAAUAGACUUUAUUUCUUUAGAAUCUGUUUUUUUUGUAUCCUGGUUAGAGAGCGUCUGCAGCAUUCGUUUAUGGUCUGUUGCUCACACUUGGUCACCUGGUUGUGGUCCGCGAGCUUCACUUCACUAGCUGUUACAUUCUUCAGUUUGUUUCUGCUGCUAUUGACUUUUCAACUCGGCAUUGCGCUUUGCAUGCUUUGGAUUUUGCUUCGCCAUGCCGGUAAACAUGUAAGAGCACCAAUACGCCUAACAGAGCACAAUGCGACUGAAGGGUAUGUGGGGGUGGGCCAUAAUCAUGACAAAACCCUGCCACGGUGGUCUAGUGGCUAAGGUACUCGGCUGCUGACUCGCAGG